ncrna:unclassified sequences Clostridiales-3 RNA
AAGAGUGCUGAAGGAUUGAGAAAUGAAAGUGGAGCGAGUAAGGGUAGUCAAUACUGGUGCGGAAGGAUAAUAAACUAUGAAGGUGUUCAAAGGGAACUUCCUGGCUCUCAUAAAGGCGGUAGAGAGGAUAGCAUUAUUUAAUUUAACUUAACUUAAUGCGUCGUAAACGCAUAUGCGGCUUAUCUGUAAUUCCUAUGUGUGCAGGCAAAUGGGAAAAAAGCACACCUACA